UGAAAUUUAUGACAAAACAAAAUUUCAUUGUUCAAAAAUUUCCCUACAUUUACAAACUUUAAUAAAAGCGGAUGCCAAAUAAAACAAAAAUCAUUUAACACUUCUGAAUUCUUUAGAGAGAAUACUACCGUUUCAAUUUCAAAAACUCGAUUGUUCUAGGACUAGGUGAGGUUAGGUUAAGAUGCGCCGUCGAUUUCAAUCGUUAUUUUUAAAACAUCAACUUUGACACCAUCUAAAGAUAAACCACUUGCAAAUAAUCCUCAAAGGAUGCAUUUAACUGAAUGACAAUAUAACUUGAGUACCGGUAGAAAAUUGCAUUACGUCAGCAGCGGUCGCUCUCCAGCAGGUUUUGCAUUCGAAUGCUGUUGAAAAGGAGCCGAAGAAAACCGCUGCUGAAGUAUUCCAAAAACCCUACAUAUUUUUUUACAUUUUCGCAAAGAGCUGAAUGUGACGUUUAAACUAACAGAGUUGUGAUUGUUUAUAUUACAGCAGAAAUUAUUUUGGUUCAGAAUAAAAGCAUAGAAAAACAAACACAUUUUUUAGGAAUGUUUGAUACAUGGAUCGAAAUUAUUCACAUUCAUAGAAAUGCAAAUGUAUAAACCUGCAAAUCUGCUGCUUGUGAUUUAAAUCAAGUUGAAUUUGAUCGCUUUUCGAAAUUUUUUGGAUCGCGAAAGUUCAGAUAGCUAUGUUCUCUCUUCGGACCGCACCCUUUGGAAUCCAGGUCCGAUGUCAAAUACAACUAUUGAUAUAAAUUGAAAAAUGAAGGGAGGUUUAGAAAAUCUGAAUCUGAUGAAGGGAGGCGUUAAAAACAGUUUUCGCCUGCAGCUCAAAUCACUCUUCGUCCGCCUCUGUGUACAGCGUAAAGGGUCCAAUGAAAAACAAUAAGAAAGGUGAGUACGAUCAGCCAAUCUACUUGUUUCGGGAAAAAACACGUUUAAAAGUACGUGGUCCCAUAAGCUUUUUUACUGGUUAGUGGAUGCUUUGUGAGAUGAUAGUUUACGACAUCAAAUGUUCAAAAUUUUGAGUUGUGUCAUUAACCGACGAUAUAGUGGUAUAUUCACUUCUUCACAAUGCACUUCGUUUGGAGAUAAACACUCUGGCGAUACGCUACAGUUUUCAAGGAAUCAUUUGAAUUCUUGGAAAGCUGUGAAUUGACUUUUACUCUUAUCCAGCAAACUAUUUUACUACCGGAAACACCCGACUUUGCAGUGUAAGUAAAUAAGAAAAUAAUUGCAAGUGAUGAAUAAAAUUUAUUUUUUUGUCAUUAUGAAUAGCUUCAUGUUAAUUACGAGCGAGAUCUGUACGCGGCCGUAGUCACAGGAAGCUGAGGUCUAUACCGGGUGCGCUUGAAGCUUCCAAUGCCGAACUUGAGUGAAACAUACCAGCACGAGAGCAUGAAAGAGAGACUGCUGCUGCUGGACUACUGCUGCUGUUGGGACCACUGUUGCUGCUGGGACUAUUGCUACUGCUGCUGGGACUGCUGCCGAAUUGUUGCCUCCAAGCAGUUCUGUGGAAACUCUAGGUACAACUAUUACUACAUGGUCCAACGAUCAACUGUAAAGCUCAGAAAUAUUCAAAGGGAUCGGUAAACUUGCUUCAGC